rnacentral:guide_RNA from 1 species
UAUUUAUCAACAGAUUAAGUGAGUCUAAGAGAUAUCAGUAAAU